rnacentral:rRNA from 1 species
CAAUAGCGUAUACUAACGUUGUUGCAGUUAAAAAGCUCGUAGUUGGAUUUCUGUGUUGGUGAGGCGGCCGGCCAUUCGUGGUUGUAGCUAGUUAUCACCGGCGCAUCUUGUCACAAGCCACGCUGGCCUUAACUGGUUGGCGUUGGGGACUGACUCGUUUACUUUGAGAAAAUUAGAGUGUUCAAAGCAGGCUAUCGCCUUGAAUAUGUUAGCAUGGAAUAAUGAUAUAGGCAUCUGAGUCUAUUUUGUUGGUUUCUAGGCUCAGUUGAAUGAUUAAUAGGGACAGUUGGGGGCAUUCGUAUUAUGACGUCAGAGGUGGAAUUCUUGGAUUGUCAUACGACGAACUACUGCGAAAGCAUUUGCCAAGGAUGUUUUCAUUGAUCAAGAACGAAAGUAAGGGAUCGAAGACGAUUAGAUACCAU